GGAUUUUGAAACCUUGGUGUGACAGCACCAGGAAGCAAUGAAAUAUGAUCUGGAACCAGGAAGAAAGAUCACAGAUGAGCAGUAUGAAUUGGGGGGUUAUCUGCUUGGAAGCCAAGAGAACAACUGAGGCCACGCGGUGCGGCUUGAGGGACCUUAGUUCCCCGACCAGGGACUGAACCCGCGCCCCCUGCAGUGGAAGUGCCGAGUCCUAACCACUGGACCACCAGGGAAGUCCCCAGAGGGAUCUCAGUUUCCCUACCAGGGAUCAAACCCGGGCCCGGUGAGUGAAAGUGCCGAGUCCCAGCCACUGGACCGCCAGGGAAUUCCCUCGAAUGCUGUAUCUUUGGAGAAAAGAUCUUUCUAGAAUUGGAGCAGACCUUCUUCCUGUGU